GGGAUUGUGGCUCAGUGGCAUAGCACAUGUCUUGCAAGUAUGAGGCACCGGGUUCAAUCCUC
rnacentral:tRNA from 1 species